AAUAUGAGUCAAAAUAUAAAAACCGUGCUUGUGCCUCAGUGUUAUGAUGUGUCUUCAAGACGGAAAUUACGAUAUAAUUAUGACUUAAAACCCCGCAAACAUGUAAAGGUGAUACCGCUGUUCUGGAUUUGAAGCAUUGAAGACGCUAGGCAUCACGUGAGAAAACCACACACGAAAAAUGUUCGCAUAAAAUACGGCAAAAGGUAUGUUGGUGUUUAAAUUAAAUACAUUUGAUUAUUUUAUUAUUUCGUGUUCUAUACUACAGGUAAUGUCGCUGUUGUGGACUUGAAGCAUUGAAGAUGCUAGCGAUCACCAGAUCUGCAGAUCCAGUGAGAAAAACCACACACGAAAAAUUUUCGCAUAAGAGACAAGUAAGGUUGUCUGAACCUAAUUAUUCGUCUAUUAAUAUAAAACUAUUAUCUGUAUUUUUUUAUUUUUACCAGUUUAAUUUUGGUUGAUUUCUAUUUUGCGAGAAGCAUGUUUUCUUGGAUCGAAGGAAAGCAACAAAAGUAAAAUGAAAGUAACGUAUCAAUGCAAAUUGCUAUACCUAACUGUAUUUCUACACAAUAGAAUAAUCUGUGGAUGAACGAAAAAACUCUUCUAUCAAUGUAAAACUAUUAACUGUAUUUUGUUGUUGUGACCAAUAUUAAAAUUUGUAAUUGUUUAGAGAAUUUUUGUUAAGAGCACAUUGCGAAACACGUUAAUUGAUCGAGAACAAAAUGAAAGGGCAAAAGCCACAGAGCGGGAACAUAUAAGGAAUAUAAAAUAAUAAGUGCAGUUUUGUAGAUAAAGGUUUGUGUUUCAUCUCACAGUCACACAUCAUUGCGACAACGGCAAAAAUGCUGAAAAUGUUAAUUUAGAUUUUUAGUCCGUAGUUAUAAGUUAUAUUUUAAUUUAUUUAUUAUCCAUUUAAUUAGUUUUAGAUUAGUUGCAAGUAACUCUUGUAGUUGAAAAAUCACAUCAGUAAAUACUUAAAUAUGUGAAUAAACUAAUAAGAGGAAAUAAA